UUGGGAUUUUAAUGGGAUUUUUGGGAGAGGAAAAACGCCAAGAAGGGCCAGGGAGGGGCGGGAGGCGGCGAGGAUGAGGAGGAGGAUUGAGCCUUCCGCGGGAAAAACUGGAAUUCCUGGGUUUGGUUGACGCCACCCGGAAUUCGGUGUGGGGAGGGCGGAGAGGGGAAAUUCCUGCCAAUAAAAAUUCGAUUAAUUAAAAAAAA